UACGUAGGGAGCAAGCGUUGUCCGGAAUCAUUGGGCGUAAAGAGCGCGUAGGUGGCUGCAUAAGUCCGUUGUGAAAGUCAAAGGCUCAACCUUUGAAAGCCGAUGGAUACUGUGGAGCUAGAGUACGGAAGAGGCGAGUGGAAUUCCUGGUGUAGCGGUGGAAUGCGCAGAUAUCAGGAGGAACACCAAUAGCGAAGGCAGCUCGCUGGGACGUGACUGACACUAAGGCGCGAAAGCGUGGGGAGCGAACAGG
rnacentral:rRNA from 1 species